CCAGCCUGCCCAGUGACAAAGUUCAACGGCCACGGUAUCCUAACCGUGCAAAGGUAGCAUAAUCACUUGUUCUUUAAAUGAGGACUCGUAUCAACGGCACCACGAGGGUUAUACUGUCUCCUUUUUCCAAUCAGUGAAACUAAUCUCCCCGUGAAGAAGCGAGGAUACUAUUAUAAGACGAGAAGACCCCAUGGAGCUUCAAACCCAACUGCACCCCCAAUUUAUAUAACCUCUAAAUCUCUGGGUCCUGCACCGUUGGUUUUAGGUUGGGGCGACCACGGAGUACAACAAAACCUCCACAAUGAACGGGACUAUUCCCUUAUCUAAGAGUUACAUCUCUAAGAAUUAGUAUAUUAAUAUAAAAUGAUCCAUUUUUUGAUCAAUGAACCAAGUUACCCUGGGGAUAACAGCGCAAUCCAUUUCAAGAGCCCCUAUCGACAAAUGGGUUUACGACCUCGAUGUUGGAUCAGGGUAUCCUAGUGGUGCAGCAGCUACUAACGGUUCGUUUGUUCAACGAUCAAAACCCU
rnacentral:rRNA from 1 species